rnacentral:lncRNA from 1 species
GGCUGUGCUCCAGAGCAUUCAUGGGGGUGUGGGGACUGGACACUUUGGGGUCACAAAAACCCUCCGCCGCCUCUGUCAGGGCUUUUACUGGGGGCAGCACAAGAGGGAUGUGGAGGACUUUUGCCGCCGAUGUGACAAAUGCACAGCGGCGGCAAAAGCCCUCUAGGCCGUACUCAUGCUCAGCAGGAGGUGGAGUUUUGGACAGCGGAGCGGCAUGCCAUGAGGACCUUGGGCGGGUGCUUGUCCCAGUCACGCUGGUGUUUGGCAGAGACGAUGGCCAGCUGCUGUCCAAGCAUUUUGUUGAAGGGAGUGGAAAGACCGCUGGGUGCUCAUGGCCAUUGACUAUUUCACAAAAUGGCCCGAAGCCAAUGCUCUGCCUGACCAGGAGGCAGAGACCAUUGUCAACAACCUUGACAGCGGGGAUGUUCAGCAGGUUUGGAGCUGCGGAGUCCAUCCACAGUGACCAAGGAAGAGUCUUGUGUGUUCAGAUUUUAUUAGACACAUGCACCGAAUACAACAGGUGUAGACCUCACAGUGAAAUGCUUCCUUUGAGCCCCCAACCAACAAUGCAGUUUAAAAAAAUACGGAUAAGAAUAAGAGAUAAAAGUAACAAGUAAUUAAAGAGCAACAGUAAAACAACAAUAGCAAGACUAUAUACAGGGGGUACCGGUACAGAGUCAAUGUGCGGAGGCACCGGUUAUUUGAGGUAAUAUGUACAUCUAGGUAGAGUUAUUGAAGUAACUAUGCAUAGAUGACAACAACAGAGAGUAGCGGCAGUGUAAAGAGGGGGAGGGGGGGAAUGCAAUAGUCCAUUUGAUUAGAUGUUCAGGAGUCUUAUGGCUUGGGGGUAGAAGCUGUUUAGAAGCCUCUUGAACCUAGACUUGGCGCUCCGGUACCGCUUGCCGUGCGAUAGCAGAGAGAACAGUCUAUGACUAGGGUGACUGGAGUCUUCUGACAAUUUUUAGGGCCUUCCUCGGACACCGCUUGGUAGAGGUCCUGGAUGGCAGGAAGCUUCGCCCCAGUGAUGUACUGGGCCGUACGCACUACCCUCUGUAUCGCCUUGCGGUCAGAGGCCGAGCAGUUGCCAUAACAGGCAGUGAUGCAACCAGUCAGGAUGCUCUCGAUGGUGCAGCUGUAGAACCUUUUGAGGAUCUGAGGACCCAUGCCAAAUCUUUUCUGUCUCCUGAGGGGGAAUAGGCUUUGUCGUGCCCUCUUCACGACUGUCUUGGUGUGUUUGGACCAUUCUAGUUUUCCUAGCCACCGUGCUUCUACACCUGCAUUGCUUGCUGUUUGGGGUUUUAGGCAGGGUUUCUGUACAGCACUUUGAGAUAUCAGCUGAUGUAAGAAGGGCUAUAUAAAUACAUUUGAUUUGAUUUAGUUUGUUGUUGAUGUGGACACCAAGGAACUUGAAGCUCUCAACAUGCUCCACUACAGCCCAGUCGAUGAGAAUAGGGGCGUGCAAGCUAAUAACGUUAGUAUUUUGGACAACCAAAGUCAAAAUGAUUGAUGAAAUCGAAGUGUGUCAGCUAUAUGGUGAUUUGCGACUCAUUACUUCCAUUUUACCGAUACUGCCAGUAGUAGUAGGCCAACCGAUAACACCAAGACUGAAUGAGUUUGAAGUGGAUGCGCUGCCGAGAACAGCUAGCAUGUCCAGCAAUGUACAUCGCCAGUGGCACACACACACUUCAUGCAGAUCAGCAGCUCUACAAUGAUGUGAUCGACUGUCUCCCAGGUGGGGGCUUUUCGUGGCAGCCAGACGAGACAAUAGAAGGAGGAUGUGGUGAGCAAAGUUACCAGGGGCAGAGCCAGAGGGGUGUCCGGGGUGACACAGACAUCUGACGUGCCACACCGACAUUUCAUUCGCUACUGGCAGGUUGAUGCUGAUUGACAUCUUAUUUCACCUCUUAUUGAAAGAAGCAUUUAUUUUGACGUUUGGCGGCGCAUUUUUGAAAUCGAGGACGAGGAAGAGAGAAUAUUAACGUUAGCUGCGAGAUACAGAAAAAUAAAAAGAACAUACAGAAGAGAGAAUAUUUCCACAGCUCCACAAGCUCUUUUUACGAUUGGCGAAAGCAUCAUAUUUGAAAUGUAUCAAGGGAUGACACAGAGACCUCUGAGCAAGACAGUGAGCCAGAGCUGCCAGGAGAUGUCAUCGACCCCCUUCCAACUGCAUCAAGCACCAGAUAUGCUGUUCCAAAAGGACCCAAUGACAUUUCAAGAUCCAGAGAAGAGGGUCCUGUACAGCCGUGUUUGAAAACAUUUCCCAGAACUCAGCAUGGUACUAGGAAAGGGGCUUUCAACAGCUCCUGGUUUAAGGACAAUUCAUGGCUUGAAAAUUCUCUCUCUGGUAUAUGGACCCCCCAUCUACAGAUGUUCAAAGAGAGAAUCUUAGCCAUACCAGACAGAUUCCUGAAAUUACCACAAGGCUGUGGAUCCUACAACAGAUACCAGGAAACACGACACAAUGCACCAAAACUAAGUUAAGAUCAGCGUCGGGAUCAUUGCAGUCAGCUCUCUAUCUCAAUAUCCCAGCCCUGGGCACACCGGAAUCACUUCACAGAUCUCAGAGAAGAUGUGGUGCGUCUAACAGAGUCCAUAGCAACUGAUGCAUCCCACUUGGAGAAGGUGAAUCAAGCAAUGACCAGACGUCACCAACAGCCCACUCCACCACCUACACCAGAGUCAGAUUUUUUUAUGCUACACUGUGAGAGCAUCAUGCGGACCGGUCAGACCCCAGUACAGCACUCUGUUACAAGCUUUGGAGAAAGUGCCCCAAUACCUCCCCCUCUUUCUACUGGACUUUUCUCCUGAAGAUAGAUUCCAGAGAAGGAAAUGGAUUGAAAACUUGAAACUUCCAUUGACUUUCACUUUGUACAAGUAUGCCUGUGGUAACUACCUAGGCACUCUGACAUUCAUAUGGAAGGUAACCUCACAUGGCACUGGUGUUCAUGAGACCAGGCUUCUGUCAUCUCCACCCUGAGAAAAUAAAUACCAACAUACCUCACUAGAGCAAUGCAAAAAGCAUUCCUGUACAAAUACGCACAUGCUGCCAAAGUGAACAGCUACUUCCUGUCACGUGUGCUCUCUGGCUUCUAGGUUAUGGUGCACAACUGUCACCAUCGUUACGUGCACCUGCGUGUCAUCAGACUCACCUGGACUCCAUCAUCUCCCUGAUUACCUUCCCUUUAUAUGUCACUCCCUUUGGUUCCUUCCCCAGGUGUCAUUGUUUCUGUUCCAGCUUCAUGUCUGCGUUGUUCAUGUUUCUUGUUUUGUAUUAUGUUUAGUUUUUCUAUAAAAUUAUUCAUUUCCUGAACUUGCUUCCCGACUCCCAGCGCACAUCGUUAGCAUCAGGGACUUAAAAAAAAAAAUGUUGGGGUGUCAGAACCGGAGCUACGUGGGAGGCUUCAGCCGGUUUGUCGAAUUCCCAUUCCUCGGCGGGUUCCCCUGCCUUAGCUGGCUUGACGGGUUUCCAUACCUCAGCGGGCUCGAUAGGCUCCCAUGCCUCGACCGAGGCAACUGGUGAGGUCUCAGCCAACUCAUCAGGCUCUCACGUCUCAGCCGGUUCGUCAGGUUCCUGCGCCUCAGCGGAGGCGACCGGUCCGCUCCUGAUCCCUGGGAUCGUCAUUUUGGUUGGCAUCCUGCGGCUGGAGUCACGCGUCGGGAGGAACUACUGUCACGUGUGCUCCCUCUCCAGCUUCUAGGUUACCAGGCUGCUCGUUAUGGCGCACACCUGUCACCAUCGUUACAUGCACCUGCACGUCAUCAGACUCACCUGGACUCCAUCAUCUCCCUGAUUACCUUCCCUAUAUAUGUCACUCCCUUUGGUUCCUUCCCCAGGUGUUAUUGUUUCUGUUCCAGCUUCAUGUCUGUGCGUUG